CCUGAACGCUGGCGGAAUGCUUUACACAUGCAAGUCGAACGGCAGCACGGACUUCGGUCUGGUGGCGAGUGGCGAACGGGUGAGUAAUGUAUCGGAACGUGCCCAGUCGUGGGGGAUAACGUAGUGAAAAUUACGCUAAUACCGCAUACGAUCUAUGGAUGAAAGCGGGGGAUCGCAAGACCUCGCGCGAUUGGAGCGGCCGAUAUCAGAUUAGGUAGUUGGUGGGGUAAAGGCCCACCAAGCCAACGAUCUGCAGCUGGUCUGAGAGGACGACCAGCCACACUGGAACUGAGACACGGUCCAGACUCCUACGGGAGGCAGCAGUGGGGAAUUUUGGACAAUGGGCGAAAGCCUGAUCCAGCCAUUCCGCGUGCAGGAUGAAGGCCCUCGGGUUGUAAACUGCUUUUGUACAGAACGAAAAGGUUUCUACUAAUACUAGGAGCUCAUGACGGUACUGUAAGAAUAAGCACCGGCUAACUACGUGCCAGCCGCCGCCGUAACAC
rnacentral:rRNA from 1 species